UCACUAGCAGGAAGUUGGGCGUUUUUUGCGACUCCGAGAACUGCAGGUUGUCAUUGUUAUAAGAUGGUAGUUCUACUGUAAUACCAUGGUCAAUUUUUUGCCCUGCUGAAUGGAUGUACGCUUUGCACAUCAUGUUGUUACUAAAAUUACGUGCACACACACGCGUAUCUAGAUUCAGCAGUGCAUCCAGCCUUGUUUCUAUGGCCGCAAUGUAAUCGUUACAACUCUCGUCUCGAAAUGAACAGGCUCAGCUGGUAGCCUACUCUAACGAGUCGCUCUUUAUUCCCUCUUGCAUUAUUCAUUUUCAGGUGGUGGAAAAAGUACUUGCAAGUGUGAUAUCGACCCUCAACAUCAACCCAAGACGGAAGAUGAACCGGGGUGUAGCAGUUGGAUUGAGGUAUCCAGGUGUCAGUACUACAUACACAUGAGGCUUGGACUCAGUACAUUCCACCUGAUGACUGGGAGCAGCAGAGGGACCUUUUGCGACCUGUCAGGAGGAAGACCAGAUUGACGUUGAGGAGGCGAGGCAGGAGGAGAAAUACCUGACAGUGAUUCCAGCUUUCAGUCUUCUGAUGGUCAAAGCACACUGGAGAGACCCGCACAAAGGCUUAAGAAGCAAGGUGGCCGAAAACUUUGAUGACAUCAAUAAUACUACCUUGGUUAAGGGCAUCAAGAAAAUGUCAUGAGGUCACCAGACAUCAGCUCUCGAAUCCAGUGUCAUCAACCAAUUCACACUACAAUGCAACAGAGAGAGCAGGCAAAGACAAGUAAAGGGGACCUACGCUACAGCAUUCGGAAACCAAAGUAAAGACCAGGAAGUGCGUCAGCUAAGCCAGUCAAAUGUGUGUGUGUUUUCUUAAAUGUGUGUA